AUGUCAUAAUCAAAAAGAAAACAAAGAAGACAUUGCUUUUUCUUUUUCAUGCUCUGCCCGCAAAAAAGUGUACAAUAUUCAAAAUGAAUUCGCAAUCCCAGCGGCGCAGGAGAGUGACGUCACGGCUUCUCCUGUUCUCCAGCUGCAGCCCAGAAACCCUGGAAAAUGCUCACGUUUUUUAAGGUGACAUCGUAUUUUGCCGAUUUCCCAAAGUCUGUUAGAAAAGGUCUGAUUUCCUACAACUCUAACAGAGUUCUAGAUGUCAACAUGAGACACAGACAGCAGCGUUUCUCUACACGGAGCGCUGGUGCCGGGCUGACUCCUCCUAUUCAGACACGUGUGUUUGUUUACAACCUAUGGAGCACGAAAUGCAAAGAGGAGCAACGUCGACCGACAAGCUUUGUACAUAGACGAGUUGCAUCAAGUCCAGGCAAGGGACACGCAGAAAUUCUACCCCUGUCGUUGUCCAGCGUGACAGUCUGACCGUCAACGCAUGCAUUUCCUGAAAAUGACUGCUGAGGAGCAGCAUGAGUCUCCAGAUGAGGAGGAGAUCAAUUAUUUGAGAAAAACAAUGUAAGUGAAUGUUUGUGAGUCUUUUUGUCUUGUUUUGUUUUACUCGUGUGUAAUUGGCAAAGUAUUCAAGGCACUUGCAAUGUCAAUGUCAAUGUCAAUGUCAAUUUUAUUUAUAAAGCACAUUUAAAAACGACCGAGGUCGACCAAAGUGCUGUACAGCAUACAAGAAAAUAAAACAAUACCAAAAGAAAAACACAGUACACAGUGUAGAAACAAUAAAAUCA